GACAGAGGAUGCAAGCGUUAUCCGGAAUGAUUGGGCGUAAAGCGUCUGUAGGUGGCUUUUCAAGUCCGCCGUCAAAUCCCAGGGCUCAACCCUGGACAGGCGGUGGAAACUACCAAGCUGGAGUACGGUAGGGGCAGAGGGAAUUUCCGGUGGAGCGGUGAAAUGCAUUGAGAUCGGAAGAACACCAAUGGCGAAAGCACUACUGCUGGCCGACACUGACACUGAGAGACGAAAGCUAGGGGAGCAAAUGGGAUU
rnacentral:rRNA from 1 species